CAUAUUGAGCAGCACUUGAGAGAAAACAGUUUUAUUUGGCACACUCAGAAGUGAUUGUCUCUUAUACAUCAGCUUUACCACUUGCAGAAUGAAAUUAAUCAACUGUGAAAUCUCCCAAUGUGUUUUGUAGCUCUUGAAGAAAUUGCCAAAAAAUUAGCCACCUUUUUAUAAAUGGAAUCUAUUCCAAUUUGUGUCCUUUAGGAAUAUAUAUGUUCACUGCCCUGAGACAGAGUUGACAACAAUGAAGCAAGUCUCAUCUAUUUGAGGACAAUAAACGCAUUUUAAACCAAUACACUAACACCGCAUAUCAUCUGUCAUCAUGCCAUUUUUUUCCAUUUUGCCAUCAAUUUCAAUUUCUGCUUGACCAUAUAAAACAAAAAAGGCAGCAAGAAUAUUUAAAUUCCACAUUCACCAGUUUCCGAGAAGAUCAGAAGCAAAUAAAAAGCAUUAACCUAUAAAAAUGCCAUUGCUAGAAUUCUUUUUUCCAUGAGCAAGCAUCACCACAUUUUGCAAAUGGAAUAGCAAUUCCAAAAUGGAAUAGAAACAUUUUUAAGUGAGUAGGAUUUAAGAUAUGAAAUCAUAAAUGAAAAUAACCUCUGGGAAGGUGAAACUGACCUGAGCAAGACAGAGGAUAAGAGGAAAAGAUCUAGAAAUUCAAGGUAUUAAAAUUAAGGAACUGUAGCCAGGUGAGUUAGUCAUCAAUGUAAUCUCAGUCUAAGGGAGGCCAAGGAAGAAGGAUCCUAAUUUCGACUCAGGCAUGGCAACAUAGUAAGACCUUGUCUCAAAAUUCAAAAAAAAGAAAAAAGAAAAAGGUCUGCAGAUUAAGCUCAGUAUGAACUUUCUGGGUUCAAAACCUGGUACUAUAAACAAACAAAGAAGCAGUCAAUCUUGGAGAAUUAGACUAGACAUAUCUUAAAUUACUUACAAUUUUGAAACGCCACAAGGUUUUUGUUUCAUUUAUUUUUAAUGAUCACCAAUGGAUGAUACCACUUAAAGAGGUCUCUUAGUAAAAGUCCUGAUUACACAUCUCAUGUGCCACUUGUAAUGCAACAGCUGGCUCUGCAUAGGACCAGCUAGGUUUCCCAUCAGACUCUACCAGAUACCUCUUGGCAUUUCACCCAGAAGGUCUUGAGACAAGGCUUGACAAACCAUGGUAGCAACAGGAUCUCACAGAUAAAUGCUUCCCCUUUAUUCUGGAUACUUCUACAGAGGUCUGAGACACUGCAUAAGGACACUCAGAAAUCAGUAGUAGUAGUAUAAUCAGUAACAGUGGCCAACUUGACAAUGCUUGUGAGGGCUGGCCCACAUUUUGUAUUUCACUCAUUUUGUCCCUUCUCCACCUGCUUCCUGAGAUCGCAUUUUCAAAUAAACUCCAGGUUUAUCAGUCUUUGAUUUUUGAGAAAAAAAAAGCUCUGUUUUUGUCUUUAGAGAAAUUCAUGCUAAUACAGAAUUAGAAAAAGAAAAUAAAAUACAAAAGAGGUAAAUGGCUUUAUACUUAGCCACAGAAGUCAAAGGAUUUGUAGUCACAAGAAACAUUUGGUGUCCAUACAUUCUGUCCGCAAUUUAAAUGAAAGAUACUGCUGCAUAUCAUCUGUAUACAAGGCACUAAGUAUAUGUGCUGACUCCAGAAAAACAGGUACUGUAAACCAGAUAGUCCCUCUUCUCAAAAAAUGUACAGCCUAGUCAUGGAAAAAUAUUUAAAAAGAAAGUGAAAACAAGGUAAAAGAAAGCUCAUGUCCUGCAGCAGCCAGAAUGGAGACGACUGCCAGCUCACACAUUCCCUGACAACCAGGGGUCUACUACCCACUUUACCCUGUCCUAGAAGCCACAGGGCUCUAAUCUUUCUAAAGUCAGAAUAUUUAGACUAUCCACAUUGAGAGUAACUUAGUCUCCUUCUAUUCAGUCUCAUUUUUGCUUAAUUUUGCUGAUCAGAGCACAUGUAUUUUGCUUGAAAUCAAACUUUAAAAUCUGGUCAUCAGAAUUAGCAACUAAUAGAACAAAUCUACCAAAACUAAUCCAGUUUUAGAAAUGAAUCCACUGAAUGUACAAUGAUAUUGGUCUGGUAUAACAGUAGGAAGAGAACAGAGGCAAUAAGAAAAGUAAAAGCAAUGUCUGAACUGAAUAUCCAGCUAAUAACCCAGUGGAAGAUGAAAAUAUGCAUAAUCUCUAAGUAUACAUUAAGGCUACUUUAUUCUACUUUACUUUAUAUGAAACUAACAUGCUAUACAGGCCUUAAAGGCUAUGUUUUCAAGUUAAUUUUCCUCAUUUUUUGUGCAAGUUUUUUCACUCAGUAACACUGGGAUGAAAGUGGGUGGCAAGACAUUUUUAACACCAAUAUAAUUUAACAGUUCUACUUAUUAUUUCCUUCUAAAAUUGUUACUAUUAAACAAAAGACACAAUAUAAAGAUAACUUUCCCUCACAGAAAUCCUUUAUUGUUGUAAAUGAAGGGAGUAUUCUGGGAUUCUAGAAUCAAAAACAUUUGUUUAAUUUGGACACAAAAGCCAACUUUACAAGAUAGAUUCUGACUGGCCAAAAAUAGGAUAAUUUAACCUUCAGUAGAGACAAUAUCUUCCAUAGAUGGACAAAUUCCCAUAAGCUUAAAUCUAUGAGCGUACACACACAGAUACCUUUAAAACUAGUAAAUGAAGGGAGAGAAAAAAAUAUAUAUUCAUCCUGUUUCCUAUACAAACACCAAUACUGGAUAACCAAAUGGUAAAUGACAGAGAAUUUCUUUUUAUAGAAAUACUCCAGCUAAUAAAAGAAGAAAAAUGAUAGAACUAGAACACCACCACUUCUGCAAUUUCUAUGAGAUAAUAAAAAUAAACUUUGAGUAUCUACAGCUACUAACAUUAUCAAUAGAAAAGCGAUGUACAUGAUGCAUCUCUGCAUGAAAUAAAUAGCACUCCUUAUAUUCACGGAACAAAAAACAAAAUAAAACCACCUAAAUGUGAUCAAGCCUCUAGAACUAAGUACAUCUGAAAAAAGAAACAUUAAAGUACACUAGAAGAAUGCAGUCGUAAAAUCCAGAAUGUAGAAAAUGCUUCAGCUCACAUAAGCUAUGUUUUUCAGUAUCUAAGCUGCAAGGAACAAAAGAGGUAGGAAUGGAAUGAAAAGGUACUAUCCUUAGUUUAAAAGUACCUGAAAACCUGAAAGGCAAACACACACACACACACACCCACACACACACUAUAACUAUAUUACCGUGCUCAGAGAUAAAUACAUAAUAAUGAAAUGUAAGUAAAUGGUUACUAUAAUAAGUCAGGAUAGUCAGGAAACACAGGAGAUUAUACUUAGGAGUGGGCUUGUGAAGAACUUCUAGGGUGGCUAUAAAAGUCCUAUUUUUUUGAUCUGCAAGGUGGCUACAAGGGUAUGUACUUCAUAUGCAAAAGUAUCAAUGUUUUCAGUUCACCUGAAAGUGGUAAUUUAAAAUGCAGACUUUUUACCCUCACUAAGACCUGCUAAUUCAGUACUCUAUUUCCAGGGACAGGUUCUAGCCAUUUGCAUUUUUGGGUAAAUUCUACCUAGUGAUUUUUUUUAAACAGAAAUAGUAUUUAGCUAUUAAUGAGCCUAUAAACAAAAAAAAGCUGCCAUUUCAAAAUAAAAACAAAAUCCCAACUCAUAGCUAUUUACAGUGAUACAUUGAUCAAAGCAAUAUACAGACUUGUUUAGUUAUACGAUUUUAAGUAAAUGUUUGCAACAAAUAUGAUUUUUUUUAAUUCAACAACAUUGCAGAGCUUAAUACAGAGUCUUAAGGAUAAUCUAGCAGCCACUAAGUUUUUCUUAAGUCUUACUUAAUCUGUUAUUUCUACUUCAGGUAAGCAAGCAGUCUUUCACACAUUCAAACACUGGAAUUUCUGGUUGGUAACAUAUCAGCUGGCUUACGUUAAGAAGCCAAUCACUGAAAGAAUAUUAUAAGUGAACUGUGAGAAACAUAUUUCUGUUGUGUAAGCCAACCAGUCUGUGGCACUUUGUUAUGGCUUCGUAAGAAACCCUCCUCACUUAUCGCCCUAUCUGAAGCCCUCUUCCAUUUUCCCACCAGAAUGACCUUCCCACAAACAAUAAGGACUCUCUCUGCUGAACAAUCUUCAACAGCAUGCCACUGCCUAGAAGACAAAACGUAAACUCAUCUGGUGGCAUGUCAUGUCUGUAUGCAGAUGAUAUUCUCCCAGUCAGCAUACUCUUUUCAACCUCUGGCUUGCAGCAGGUAACUCCUAUUUGGUCUUCAAAUCUCAACUCAUGCAUUACUUCCGUUUACUGGUGCUUCUAUAAUACUUUCAAUAAGCUCUCAUAAAAGUAUUUAUCUUAUGCUAUGAGAAUUACUUAUUUGCAUGUCUAUAAGUCUCUUCAAGUCACGGAAUAUAUCUUUGCAACCAUGUAUUUUAUAGAGCCUGGCAUAUAGUAAUUGCUCAAUAGUUGUGUUCCACAAACAAAAAUGCCAAAAAAAAAAGUGAUAGAUUUGUAACUGAUGUUCCAAAGAGUGCUUACCAACUCAUUUUUAUACUAGUAUGACCUAAUUAGAUCAAAUCACAUCUGAGAAGCAAUAAAGCAAAUGAGUACAAGCACCCACUUAACUGAAAGAUUCAAUUAAAUAAUAACUGAAACAUUGAAAUUUCUCACUAUCCUUACCUCCUUCAGAAGUUCAACGCUGUGCUCUAAAAGCUGAAUUAAAGAGGAGCACUCCCCAGUUAUCUUUAAGCUGACUUCACAGACACACAAUAACUGAAGUGUCAGCUGGGUAAGCUGAAUUUUCCAGAAAACAGGAUAAUGCAAAAGGCUUGAGUACACUUCCUUGAUAAACAGCAUUGCUUCCGUUGUCUGUAUCAUGUCUUUCAUCUGUUUAAUAAAGCCAUUAUAUAAUAUUAAAGUAAUACACAAAUGACAGGAUAAUUUAAAGCUAUAUAAGAUGUUUUUAACAAAAUAAUUUUCUUUAAUCCCAUAAAGAAAGGCUUCAAGAAGAUGGAACAAGUUAUAUAACAAUAAGAUACACAAUUCUGCUUUUUCUCAGUAAUGAAAACACAAUUUCCUAUUAUUAUUUUACUACUGUCUGGCACAGAUUCUUUUUGUUUAUUUUUCUAGCUUCCCUAAAUGCAGAUGUCUUACAACAAAUUAUAUGACAGUGCAAACAGAAGUGAGGGAACAUGUUGAAGAAAAUUAAUUAAGAACUGGUUCAUAUUUCUAAGUUUUUGUUGAAUAGUUGAACAGAACUGGUUGCAAUCUCACUGUUUGAAUCCCCACUUUAUAAGCUCCACUUUAGUAUCUUGAAUAACUAUUUGUAAGAAGACAAUCUGUAAUCAUCAACUAGUGAUUUCUUACUGUUUCUUUUUUUCUUUAAAAUUAUAUACUAUUUCUACCCA